rnacentral:rRNA from 1 species
GACGAACGCUGGCGGCGUGCUUAACACAUGCAAGUCGAACGGAAAGGCCCUGCUUUUGUGGGGUGCUCGAGUGGCGAACGGGUGAGUAACACGUGAGUAACCUGCCCUUGACUUUGGGAUAACUUCAGGAAACUGGGGCUAAUACCGGAUAGGAGCUCCUGCUGCAUGGUGGGGGUUGGAAAGUUUCGGCGGUUGGGGAUGGACUCGCGGCUUAUCAGCUUGUUGGUGGGGUAGUGGCUUACCAAGGCUUUGACGGGUAGCCGGCCUGAGAGGGUGACCGGCCACAUUGGGACUGAGAUACGGCCCAGACUCCUACGGGAGGCAGCAGUGGGGAAUAUUGCACAAUGGGCGGAAGCCUGAUGCAGCAACGCCGCGUGCGGGAUGACGGCCUUCGGGUUGUAAACCGCUUUCGCCUGUGACGAAGCGUGAGUGACGGUAAUGGGUAAAGAAGCACCGGCUAACUACGUGCCAGCAGCCGCGGUGAUACGUAGGGUGCGAGCGUUGUCCGGAUUUAUUGGGCGUAAAGGGCUCGUAGGUGGUUGAUCGCGUCGGAAGUGUAAUCUUGGGGCUUAACCCUGAGCGUGCUUUCGAUACGGGUUGACUUGAGGAAGGUAGGGGAGAAUGGAAUUCCUGGUGGAGCGGUGGAAUGCGCAGAUAUCAGGAGGAACACCAGUGGCGAAGGCGGUUCUCUGGGCCUUUCCUGACGCUGAGGAGCGAAAGCGUGGGGAGCGAACAGGCUUAGAUACCCUGGUAGUCCACGCUGUAAACGGUGGGUACUAGGUGUGGGGUCCAUUCCACGGGUUCCGUGCCGUAGCUAACGCUUUAAGUACCCCGCCUGGGGAGUACGGCCGCAAGGCUAAAACUCAAAGGAAUUGACGGGGCCCCGCACAAGCGGCGGAGCAUGCGGAUUAAUUCGAUGCAACGCGUAGAACCUUACCUGGGUUUGACAUGGAUCGGGAGUGCUCAGAGAUGGGUGUGCCUCUUUUGGGGUCGGUUCACAGGUGGUGCAUGCCUGUCGUCAGCUCGUGUCGUGAGAUGUUGGGUUAAGUCCCGCAACGAGCGCAACCCUUGUUCACUGUUGCCAGCACGUUAUGGUGGGGACUCAGUGGAGACCGCCGGGGUCAACUCGGAGGAAGGUGGGGAUGACGUCAAGUCAUCAUGCCCCUUAUGUCCAGGGCUUCACGCAUGCUACAAUGGCUGGUACAGAGAGUGGCGAGCCUGUGAGGGUGAGCGAAUCUCGGAAAGUCGGUCUCAGUUCGGAUUGGGGUCUGCAACUCGACCUCAUGAAGUCGGAGUCGCUAGUAAUCGCAGAUCAGCAACGCUGCGGUGAAUACGUUCCCGGG